GUGAGUGUAGCUCAACGGUUAGAGCAUCGGACUGUGGAUCCGAAGGUUGGGGGUUCGAUUCCCCUCACUCACC
rnacentral:tRNA from 2 species